GGCUCCUAGGCGACGACGGGUAGCCGGCCUGAGAGGGCGACCGGCCACACUGGGACUGAGACACGGCCCAGACUCCUACGGGAGGCAGCAGUGGGGAAUAUUGCACAAUGGGCGAAAGCCUGAUGCAGCGACGCCGCGUGAGGGAUGACGGCCUUCGGGUUGUAAACCUCUUUCAGCAGGGAAGAAGCGAAAGUGACGGUACCUGCAGAAGAAGCGCCGGCUAACUACGUGCCACGCCCC
rnacentral:rRNA from 1 species